rnacentral:lncRNA from 1 species
CCAACUUUGGGCAAGAGUUUAUCCCAAAGUCAUUUGAUCAUAGACCAGUUGCCAAAGGAGAUCGAAAGGUGGUAACAGCUUGGGGAUGGUUCUGGAACAGAAGUCCCCCAGUGAGGGCCCUGCCUGAUCCAACACCACGUGACUAUUUCCAUCAGAUGAGAUGACAGAGGGGCUUGCGUCUUCCCUUGCUCCCUCUGCAUCUUGGAGUUGAGGACCAUGAGGUGCCACUGUGGGGAGAUGAAUACCAGCCAUCAGCAGCCUCCGCCUCUGCCAGCAAGUCAAGGGGUGAGCGAGCAGCCACUGAGAAUCACAGGUGCAGAGUCACCAGGCAGUUCCUUGAGAAAGAGGAGUCAAAUCCAAAAAGGACAUUAGUUGAGACUCUGAAGACCAUCCCUAUUUUGGGAAAGCUCAAGAUGGGUGGCAGCAGGACCCUGGUUCCCAUUAAGGAGGCCUGAGUUUCCAGCUGCUCUGCUCCCAUUGCAGCAAGGCAAUGGACAUUUGAAUAAGGGAAUCAAGAACCCUGCACAGCACUCCUGUUCUGGGGCCCAGGACAUUGACUACAAAGAACCAUGUUUUCCAAUGUGUGGUGCCUGAAUCAGCAUUGAGAUCAGCAUUAACCGGGAACAUUUUCAGAAAGCAAAUUUUCAAGCUGCCUUCUUUCCUCCUCACCCAUCGAGACCUGUGAAGUCAGCGAUAUGUGUUUUGCGAACACAUAAAUCUCCUUCUAGGAGAUUCGGUAUGUGAUAUACCUGUAAAACACUGCUUAGACUAUUAAACAUAUUGAUCCAUCAAACAAAUAUGGAAUAGUUUCAUGAACCACUUUUAUGAGUUAGAUUUGGGAUGGAUGAAAGAAAACAAUGAUUUUAACAUGCAUUUAUAUUGUAUUUUAUGAUUUCACUGUUUCUUAUUAGAGCUUCAGAAAAUCUCAGGAAUUAGAUGGGGUGGUUACAUCUUCUGUACAACUUUGCAGUUGAGGCACAGAAUGUGGUGUUAGUAUCAAAAGUUAGACAAACAAUAUGUAGAUUUCAGACCACAGUUCAAAUCUGAUUUUACUACUGUGGUCCUUCCAUUGUAUUACCUAGUAACCAAAUUACACUCUAAUAAGUGAUAAAACCAGAAAUGUAAGCAAGUCUAUGCAAGGUUGGGUUAUAUUCUUGAACGUCUUAUACACUUCAUUGAAGAAAAUAAAAAAAAACCACAUUAGUAAAUUUUUCACUUUUAAGGUCAACACUUUGCUCUUCUACCUAGUG